UCUUGCGCGAGCACAUAUGGUACGUGCAUCCGCCUUAUAAGCGGAAGAUAGGUAGGUUCGAACCCUCCGCGUAAGAUC
rnacentral:tRNA from 1 species